rnacentral:rRNA from 1 species
AGUGAACGCUGGCGGUAGGCCUAACCCAUGCAGGUCGAACGGCAGCACAGUAAGAGCUUGCUCUUACGGGUGGCGAGUGGCGGACGGGGGAGGAAUACAUCGGAAUCUACUUUUUCGUGGGGGAUAACGUAGGGAAACUUACGCUAAUACCGCAUACGACCUACGGGUGAAAGCAGGGGAUCUUCGGACCUUGCGCGAUUGAAUGAGCCGAUGUCGGAUUAGCUAGUUGGCGGGGUAAAGGCCCACCAAGGCGACGAUCCGUAGCUGGUCUGAGAGGAUGAUCAGCCACACUGGAACUGAGACACGGUCCAGACUCCUACGGGAGGCAGCAGUGGGGAAUAUUGGACAAUGGGCGCAAGCCUGAUCCAGCCAUACCGCGUGGGUGAAGAAGGCCUUCGGGUUGUAAAGCCCUUUUGUUGGGAAAGAAAAGCAGCAGGUUAAUACCCCGCUGUUCUGACGGUACCCAAAGAAUAAGCACCGGCUAACUUCGUG